UACGAAGGGAGCUAGCGUUGUUCGGAAUCACUGGGCGUAAAGCGCACGUAGGCGGAUGUGUCAGUCAGGGGUGAAAUCCCCGGAGCUCAACUUCGGAACUGCCCUCUGAUACAAGCACGUCUUGAGUCCGAUAGAGGUGGGUGGAAUUCCUGAGUGUAGAGGUGAAAUUCGUAGAUAUUAGGAAAGAACACCGGUGGCCGAAGGCGGCCCACUGGAUCGGUACUGACGCUGAGGUGCGAAAGCAGUGGGGAGCAAACAGGAUUGAGAUACCGUUCG
rnacentral:rRNA from 1 species